ACUAUGCUUGGCCCUAAACCUCAGCAGUUAGAUAACAAAACUACUCGCCAGAAUACUACAAGCAACAGCUUAAAACUCAAAGGACUUGACGGUGCUUUACAUCCCCCUAGAGGAGCCUGUUCCGUAAUCGAUAAACCCCGAUCCACCCCACCCUCUCUUGCUCAGCCUAUAUACCGCCAUCUUCAGCAAACCCUAAUGAAGGCUACAAAGUGAGCGCAAACGCCACUGCCGCGAAUACGUUAGGUCAAGGUGUAGCCCAUGAGACGGUAAAAAAUGGGCUACAUUUUCUAUUUCAGAAAACCCCACGAAAACCCUUAUGAAACUUAAGGGUCCAAGGAGGAUUUAGCAGUAAAUUAAGAAUAGAGUGCUUAAUUGAACCAGGCCAUAAAGCGCGCACACACCGCCCGUCACUCCUCUCAAAUAUAUUUAAGGAAUAUCCUAACUAAACGCCCUAAUAUUUAUAUAGAGAGGAUAAGUCGUAACAUGGUAAGCGUACUGGAAGGUGCGCUUGGAUAAAU
rnacentral:rRNA from 1 species